AGAGUUUGAUCCUGGCUCAGAUUGAACGCUGGCGGCAGGCCUAACACAUGCAAGUCGAGCGGCAGCGGGAAAGUAGCUUGCUACUUUUGCCGGCGAGCGGCGGACGGGUGAGUAAUGCCUGGGGAUCUGCCCAGUCGAGGGGGAUAACAGUUGGAAACGACUGCUAAUACCGCAUACGCCCUACGGGGGAAAGGAGGGGACCUUCGGGCCUUUCGCGAUUGGAUGAACCCAGGUGGGAUUAGCUAGUUGGUGGGGUAAUGGCUCACCAAGGCGACGAUCCCUAGCUGGUCUGAGGGGAUGAUCAGCCACACUGGAACUGAGACACGGUCCAGACUCCUACGGGAGGCAGCAGUGGGGAAUAUUGCACAAUGGGGGAAACCCUGAUGCAGCCAUGCCGCGUGUGUGAAGAAGGCCUUCGGGUUGUAAAGCACUUUCAGCGAGGAGGAAAGGUUGGCGCCUAAUACGUGUCAACUGUGACGUUACUCGCAGAAGAAGCACCGGCUAACUCCGUGCCAGCAGCCGCGGUAAUACGGAGGGUGCAAGCGUUAAUCGGAAUUACUGGGCGUAAAGCGCACGCAGGCGGUUGGAUAAGUUAGAUGUGAAAGCCCCGGGCUCAGCCUGUGAAUUGCAUUUAAAACUGUCCAGCUAGAGUCUUGUAG
rnacentral:rRNA from 1 species